rnacentral:rRNA from 7 species
CGGUGGAUCACUCGGCUCGUGGAUCGAUGAAGGACGCAGCAAACUGCGCGUCAAAGUGUGAACUGCAGGACACAUGAACAUCGACGUUUCGAACGCACAUUGCGGCCCACGGAUUCUGUUCCCGGGCCACGCCUGGCUGAGGGCCGGC